rnacentral:rRNA from 1 species
CAGUAGCCGCGGGAAUACGGAGGGUGCAAGCGUUAAUCGGAAUUACUGGGCGUAAAGCGCACGCAGGCGGUUUGUUAAGUCAGAUGUGAAAUCCCCGAGCUUAACUUGGGAACUGCAUUUGAAACUGGCAAGCUAGAGUCUUGUAGAGGGGGGUAGAAUUCCAGGUGUAGCGGUGAAAUGCGUAGAGAUCUGGAGGAAUACCGGUGGCGAAGGCGGCCCCCUGGACAAAGACUGACGCUCAGGUGCGAAAGCGUGGGGAGCAAACAGGAUUAGAUACCCCAGUAGUCCCUGUCUCUUAUAA